rnacentral:rRNA from 1 species
CACGUAGGGUGCGAGCGUUGUCCGGAAUUAUUGGGCGUAAAGAGCUCGUAGGCGGUUUGUCGCGUCGAAUGUGAAACCCGGGGCUCAACCCCGGGCCUGCAUUCGAUACGGGCAGACUAGAGUUCGGUAGGGGAGUCUGGAAUUCCUGGUGUAGCGGUGAAAUGCGCAGAUAUCAGGAGGAACACCGGUGGCGAAGGCGGGACUCUGGGCCGGAAUGACUGACGCUGGAGGAGCGAAAGCGUGGGGAGCAAACAGG